rnacentral:tRNA from 1 species
GCCUGGUUGGCUCAGUCAGUUGAGUGUCUGACUUUGGCUCAGGUCAUGAUCUCAUGGUUUGUGGGUUCAAGCCCCGUGUUGGGCU